GGAUGUGAGGGCAAUCUGGCUGUGACAUCUGUCACUGCACUGGUCAUCAGGGUUGAUUUGGCUGAUCUAGCUGGCUAGAUAGGUGUCCCCUCCCUGCCUCAAUGCUCCAUGUUCAUCCCUGCCAUAGUUACACACUUGAUCAAAGAGGAUGACCACCACGACAGAGGAGCAUUGUUCCUCCAUCAAGGGUAUCGAGUAGGAGUAGCUGCACUCGCCUGCCAGAAUCUCUAAACAAACUCUCAAAAGUUAGAGGAAUAUAGGGGCUGGGGAUUUAGCUCAGCGGCAUAAGCGCCUGCCUUGCAACCAGGCAGUCAUGAGUUCGAU
rfam:Cavia porcellus supercont2_10 genomic scaffold, whole genome shotgun sequence.